GCUAACUACGUGCCAGCAGCCGCGGUAAUACGUAGGGUGCGAGCGUUAAUCGGAAUUACUGGGCGUAAAGCGUGCGCAGGCGGCUUUGCAAGACAGAGGUGAAAUCCCCGGGCUCAACCUGGGAACUGCCUUUGUGACUGCAAGGCUAGAGUACGGCAGAGGGGGAUGGAAUUCCGCGUGUAGCAGUGAAAUGCGUAGAUAUGCGGAGGAACACCGAUGGCGAAGGCAAUCCCCUGGGCCUGUACUGACGCUCAUGCACGAAAGCGUGGGGAGCAAACAGGAUUAGAUACCCUUGUAGUC
rnacentral:rRNA from 1 species